AAUAUUUAAUUAACAAAAAGGGGAAAUAGCAACUGUAGCUUGCCAAUAUUGAAGAGCCAUCACAGCCAUUUUGGAAUUGAAAGAAGCAACCCAAAGGACCUAAACUAUAUGCCAGAAUAAAUCAACAUUACUGCUUAAUGUUAAAAUCAGGUCCAAUAUCAUUUCUUCUUUUUAUUAUGGUAACUUAAUCAGAAGAGAGGAUCA
rnacentral:misc_RNA from 1 species